GGGAGAGGAGAGCCGGGAGCAAAGGGAGAGGAGGAAGAGAGCAAAGAGAAGGAGAGAGGGAGGGGAGGGGAGAGGGAAGAAAGAAUCCUGCAUCUUGCUUCCACCUGGAUUGCCAAGUUGAAGCACAAGCAAAGCUAGAUUUGAGACAUAAGUGGUGAGGAGUAAAAACAGCAACCUGAGAACCACAGUAAUAAUAAUAAUAAUAAUAAUAAUAAUAGUGAUAUUUAGCAUUUCUAGAGCAGCUCAUUUGUGCCCCAGCCUGCACUAAGCCCGUUACAAACACAACAUUGGAGCUUCACAAUUCUGGAAGGAGGAGCUACAGUGACCCCCAUUUUACAGAGAAGGAAACUGAGGCAAACUGCGAUUAAGUGACUGGCCCGGCCUGGCCGGCUGGUGAGUCUCCGAGGCUGGAUGCGGCUCCGCUCCUGUGGCCGCGCUCCGUCCCCGCUGCUCAGGAGUACCAGCCCUCCCGCGCCCGGGAAGAGUCUCAGUUUCUCCAUAACGGUCUCGUACAGCCUCGUCCUAAAGAAAGCGUUUUGAGCUGAAGGCAUGUGUGGACUCGUGAGGAGGCUAUUCCUGCGCCUCUCGGGGUUGGGGGCCCGGCGGGGGGCCCUAAUUCGUCACGGGGCAGAAAGGACAGAUGGAAAGCCUGCCUGUGACACCCCACGGCCCGGUCUGAAGCGCCCAGCGUCCGCAGACCACCUCCCCACCAGCUCCAGGUCUCCCAAAACAAACGGAAGCAAUCUGCCCUCCGGGAGCUUCCGCCCCAGCGCAGAAGCCACCGAGGGAAGGGGAAGGAGGGCCCAGUAAUUCCCCAAAAAGGGGAGAGGGAGGGGGGCUCAGUGUGGGCCAAGGCUUGGAGGUGGGCAGCGCGGGCCAGUCAGCCUGAGGAGAGUCUGGAGUCCGGCUGGAAGGGGCAGCGAGAGGCGGGAGAAGGACGACGCCCCAGCCAGGCAGCAGGGCUCGCCUCCGGAGCUGCGGGGUCUGGGGCAAGUCACAGAUCCCGACGCCCGGAGGCAGUCCUCAGUUUGCGAUGUGCUGGGAAUGAAGGGAGGACCCGGAGAAAGGAGGCACUUCAGGGGCUUCCUGGGAGAGCCCAGCGGGAAAGGGGAGGGGCAGCCAUCCCACUCCGCUCUGCCCAGAGCCCCCCAGAGGCCGGGGGCACCAUCUGUUGGGAGGGACAUUGAGAAGUCCCCCCAGAGGGGGUUCCCUGCUGGCCGGGCCCCUGGAGGGCUGAGUCCAGGCAGGCCUGGGGAGGCCCACGGGGGUGUUUUGGGAGAAGCGGGCCAGGGACCCACACUGACAAAAAACAGAUGGGGGGGAGGGGAGCCAAGGUGGGGGAGGGAGAGUAAGCCUUGGAGUCUAGCUCCUCACACACACUCACACUCACUCACACUCACACACACACACACACAAACACUCACACCUCCUCAACAAAAGACUUAGAGAACGCAGCAGACUGAAUUCUGAUCAGUCACUCCUGAGUCAUUUCUGAGUCACAGGGAGCCAGCCCAGCGUGAAUUAGGAAGACAGACAGAGGGGUCUAACCAUAGAACGUGGCUGUGGCCGUGGCUGUGACUGUGACCAUGACUGUGACUGGGGCCGUGGUAGUGACUGUGACUGGCCGCGACUGUGGCCGUGGCUAUGGCCCUGACUGUGGUCGUGGCCGUGGCAGUGGCUGUGGCCGUGGCUGUGACUGUGGCCGUGGCUGUGGCCAUGACUGGCCGUAGCUGUGGCUGUGCCCAUGACUGGCCCUGACUGUGAUUGUGGCCAAGGCCAGAAGGGACUGAGAGAUCCCAUGGGAUCCUGAGUGCAGCAAAUCGUACUCUGGCAAUUCUGGCUCAAGAAAUAACUACAGAACGAGAGCUUGGGCUCCUGGCACUCACAAGCUGCCCUCCAGGCUCCCGGCAUCAUGGGCACUGGUGGUGAGUUCCCAGAGCCUGCAGUGUGCCAGGGACCCGUGCCCAGGGAUCGAUGUCACUGGAAAUGAAUGCAAAAGAAGGAAGGAGGUGGGGUUUAAAUGACCGUGGCCCCCCUCGGUGCAGGAGCUGCUGGGCUUGGGGGCUGAGAGUGGAGGGAUUCUGUUCCCGCUACCACGUUCUGACCAGCAGUUACCGCUGGCACGCCUUCCCUCCUCUUCCCCUGGGACACCAUCUCCCCGGCGCUCCUCUGCCAGGGGGGCUCCCUGGUCUCCAGGCAGGAGUUCUGGCCGCCCCUCUGUAGCCCUGCGCCAGUCUCUCAGACAAGGAGCACUGUCCAGCCUCCAGCCCCCCAAAGGACCUGAGCAUGCCCACCUCCCGCUCCCUUGAGAACGGUCACUCACUCCUUCCAUCUUUCCUUGCCCCAGAAGGGUCAAACUCCAGGGGAGUCCAGCAGGAAGGUGGCACAGGAAACGGGGCAGGGGCAUUUCAGCCACCCCAGUCCUUUUAAACAAGGGAAGCUGGGGGUGAAGCCUCGGCCUCUGUGCUGGCUAGCUGGGCUUCGCUCGCUUCCCUUCCCCUGCCUCAUCCUCUCCCCAUUCUGGAUGGGCUUCUGUGUGGCAAUCACAAAGGAGAGCAUGUCUCAGCCCCUGGCAGGGAAGGCAGCCAGGCUCUAUUUAUAAACGCAUUGACAAAGUCCUGAAAAGCCUCUGCUGCCCAAAGCUGCUUCUCCCUCCCCACGUUUGCAGAGGCCGGACCCCGGCAGGCCCGCAGCCCAGCUGUGCCUUUCAUGUGCCAGCCGGGGCAGAGAUUGGAUCUAGGAAACGCCUUUAAGUCCUGGCCCAGACGCAAACUGCCUGGGGAGCAGGGGCAGAUCACCCCUUGGAGCUCUUGAGUCCAGCCCCAACUUUCUCCAGCAAGGAAACUGAGGCUGGGGGGGAGGAGUUGGCUCCUGAGCCAGCGAGAGGGCCCAGCACAAGGCCUCAGGCUUCUGACUCCAGAACUGUUCUAAGGGGAGGAGAGAGGAAACAUGGGAGGAAGACUGGCAGGGGGAGGGGGAGGGGGGAAGGCUGGCAGGGGGCAUCCACAGCCACAAACCACCUUUCUCUGCCAUUCUCCAGUCUGGCCGGAGGGACGUGUCCAAAGUCACUCGGCUCCUAAGGGCCGGAGCUUCGGCCGGAGCCCUAACAAAGGCCCCAGACACAACAGGGAAGGCCGCAGUGUCCUGCCAGCCCCCGAAGCUCCCCCAGAAGCAGACUUGGCCCAAGGGAGCGCAAGAGCUGGGCGGGGCAACUCUGGAGCCCUUGUCUCUGAAGGGGGCAGGGGCGCCAUCCGUGCUGCGGGUCUUUGUGAAUGAACAUGAGAGAAGGCGCCAUCUUGGCAAUGGGGUGGACGUGAGUCCCCCAAAGCACAGAGCAGGCUUUCACCGUUCGGGCCCGGCCUCUGCAUCGGCUGCUGACAGGCGCCCGAAGAGGAGGAAUUAGAAGUCUUUGCCUCCAUUCAUCUCCACAGGCAACCGCAGACACGUGAGUCUAAAGAUAGCUGAUGGCGGCCGCGGGGGUGUCUGAGGAGGCUGGGGGCUCUCAGCCUCUCCAGAGGCAGGAGCCACGGGGGCACCUCCCCAAGACUGGCAGCACUCCUUCUGAAGUGAGGCUGGCCUGGGCUGGGCAGGGGCCGUGGGGGCACCUCCCCGAGACUGGCAGCGUGGGGCAGCGCUCCUUCCGAAGUGAGGCUGGCCUGGGCUGGGCAGGGGCUGUGGGGGCACCUCCCCGAGACUGGCAGCGUGGGGCAGCGCUCCUUCUGAAGUGAGGUUGGCCUGGGCUGGGCAGGGACAUCUCAGACAUGGGGGGGAUCCCCAAGGUCCUAGUUGCUGAAGGCUCUGGACCACCCGGAAGGGGCUGGGGCUUCUCGAGGACUGGAGUCUGGGCAGGGAACGCAGGGGAAGCACAUGUGGUCCCUGCGGGGGAGGCCCCGCUGCUUCAUCAGGGAGGUUCCUGGCCAGGGGCUCUGAUACUUCCCCACUGGUUCCUCUGGAAGCUCCCCUUCUCUCAGCUUUGUUGCCUGGAGAUGACCGAGUGAGUGACUCCUGCCUCGGGAGCGGACUGGCUUCCCCAACUGAGGAGGGGCAGGAGACACCACGAACAGGGAGCUGAGACCCAGCAAAAGGAGCCACAUGUGUCACAAUGACCCGGGAGGGCCCUGAUGUGCAAUCACCUCCCUGUGGCUCACAAUCACUCCGGGAGGGAGCGGAGCUCCUGUGUAAGCUUAUCCCCAUUUCUUGGAUGAGGAAACAGAGGCUCAGAAAGAAGUGACCUGCCAAGGUUGCACACAUGAAAGUUUUUGUCAGUCAAUUGAUAGACAUUAAUUGAGUGCCUGCUGUAUACUAAAGAACUAAAGAAUGGACCAAAUCCUGACAUCAAAAGGCAUCCUGAGGAAGAAGGGGGAUAGGAAUUCAUACUUCAGAGUAUGGACGGACAAAUUUCAAAGGUCAAUUCUUGGGGCAAGACACCAUCCUUACGCACUGGGACAGUCGGGGGAGCACUCGGUCUGCUAAGGGGAGGCCCUGAGCAUGAAUGAAUCUGGUCUAAUACACAAGGUGAUGGGGGGGCAGAAGGCAGAGAUUCAGCUCCUGGGGCCAAGGAAAAUCGGCUGGAAAGAGCCGCUGGAGGCAGGAGUGGCCACAGAGCAGGAGCUCAGCGAAGGCUUCCUGGAGGAGGGGCCCCCACAAAGCUCUGAAGGCAGAGAAAGAGUGGGGGGGAUGAAAAUGCCUUACAUGGAAGGGGAGGGGAAGGACAUGCUGGGAGAUGCGUGAGAGGUUUGUUUUUUUUUUUUUUUUUAAGCCUUAAUCAAACCAAGAGGUCUGCGCUAAGGGACUUAGAGUCAGCCCCCAGCAUUUGUGGGUGAGCAGGCUGAGGCCCCCGAUAAAGGACCCGCCCUGAGGCUGCAGAUGACCGAUCUCCUCCCUCCCAAGCAUUUUCCCUGGGGCUGCAACGACCAGACAGGCUCCCGAUGAGAGACCUGGGCUCUGACCCUGGAAGCCCGAGGCUUUCCCCGAAGGCCCCUUUCGGAUCAGCCAAAGCUCCUGGUUGGUUCCCCAACAAAGCAAGAAUAAUCUAACUGAACACGGGAUCCCAAAAGGGCGGGUGAGAGUCUGUCCCCGCCCUGCUCUGACCCGCCCUGGCUGCUGUGGCCACGUGGGGCACCAAGACCCGAGACGGCCCGGACAGGCUGAAGGGCUCUCUGAGCAAUGAGAUCAGUAACUCAUCCGUGGCAGCGAUGGGAGCAUUAGCGGCGGAAAACUCGAGGGGACGCGAGAGCUGGCUACGGGGUCACUAUUCCGGGGGCAAAAGUGGGGAAGCUUCGGAAAGCAAGAUUUCAAACUGACUCCCAGCAGAAGCGCGGCUCCAAAGGGAGGGAGCGAGGUCUCCGUGCCCAGAGGUAUCCAAAGGCAUGUGGCCCCUCACCAGGGGUGUAUAAAAGCAUCAGAAGCAGCUCACAUUAGGGCUUCAGCCGCCUGAGCUGGGCUCUUGCACAAGAUGAUGCCCGGACUCCUGACGUGCCUGUGCAGGAGGGCCCAGGGUCAGGGCAAGGGGAGGCUCAGCUGUUGCUCCCGACACAACCAGUGCGAGUGCUAGCCUCCCGAGCCUCCUGAGCCUCCCAAGCAUCCUGAGCCUCCCAAGCAUCCCGAGCCUCCUGAGCCUCCCGAGCAUCCCUCACCUCCCUCACCUCCCGCCUGGGAAUGAGCUCUGGCCCAGGCCCGUCUGCCGGGGGGCGGAGAACACUGUUUCAGCAGGAGUGGCUCACACACGAGUAGGAGAAAGAAGCCAUUUACCAGAGCAGAGGCAAACUGCUAUUUUAAACCCUCCUUCCCAGCCUGAGUACGGCUUUAUUUCGGUGCUUUUGGCAAAGGCCAUGUGCAUACACUUUCCGUUGAAAAAUCCCAUGUUUAGGCUUUAAUAAGUCACCGAGUGGUUUGUUUUGUAAGAAAUAUUCGUGUUUGGCAAAUUCUAGAACGUUUGGGGGGUUCCUGGCUUCGUAGCCACGUGUUGGAAGGGCCCAGACCCCGCUCCCACGGUGGCUCCAGCCAGGGGGGGCUCAGGUCAGGUCCCCCAGAAUGGAGGCGAGCCUUGCUGGGUCACCUGGAAAUGGCUCGGUCAGGACAGAGGACAGCUCCGGAUUCCCGGUAUCCUGAUGGUUUCAAUGUCCCUCUAGGGUUUCGGGCUUCAUUCCCUCCUCCUGAUCAGAGACGCAAAGAGCACUGGGACUGGGAGUUACACGGCCUGGGUCCAAAUCCCAACUCUACCCCAGCUGUGAUUUUGAACAACCCCCUCCUUCGUGGGCCCCCGGGCCCUAAUUAAUAGUGAUCCCUCGCCUUCAGAGAUGGGAUCCUGGCCUUCCAUCGCCAGCCUCUCGUCCCCAGUCUCGGACCUCCGGGCUCACAUCGCCAGCCGCCCACGGGACACUUCCAGUCCGAGGGCCCAGGGACCUCGUGACCGCGACAGAGGGACCAAACCUUCCUCUGAGUGCCGGUGGCCUCUGGGCCGCUCCUCAGACGAGGCUCUCCCUUGUCUCCCCGUCAUCUCCUCGUCCUGCUUCCUUCAAGCCUCGGUACAAGACUUUGCUGGUGCCCUUGUUCUGGCUCCCUCUGAAAACUUCCCACUUGUGUCCUACGUCCUGCCUCUCUGUCCUUUUGCCCCCCUUGCAUCCCUAGAGGUUAGCACAGUGUUUGGCAUGUGAUAAGUGGUUAUCAGUAAAACGCUUGAUAGAAUUCAUUCUUACUAAGUUCUGUGUGAUUAUAUAAUAACCCAAUAAAUCACACGAGAUGACGAUCACACUGAUAAUUACGUGUCUAGUGCAUGAUUAUUAA